rnacentral:lncRNA from 1 species
GUUUUGAGUCAGGAACAUGGAUGAUUAAUUUGAGAGCUUUCCUCCUUGCUAAUAUUUCAAACUUCAUGAAGGCAAGCCUUCUUUACUCGUGUCUGCUGUUCCAAUGUCCAGCACAACACUUUGCAUGUAGGAGUAUUUUUCUCAAAACCUGUGUCGAUUUGAUUCCGGCUCUGUCACCAGGCUGGAGUGCAGUGGCAAGAUCUCGGCUCAUCACAAAACUCUGCCUCUCUGGUUCAAGCAAUUCUCUGCCUCAGCCUCCUAAGUUGCUGGGAUAACAGGUGCCCACCACCACACCAGGCUAAUUUUUUGUAUUUUUAGUAGAGACGGUGUUUUGCCAUCCUGGCCAGGCUGGUCUUAAACUCCUGAUCUCAUGAUCCACCUGCCUCAGCCUCCCAAAGUGCUGGGAUUACAGGUGUGAGAUUUAUUAUUCUUUUUUAUUUCCCAUAGUGCUCAGAAUACACUGCUAAGUAGUCAAUAAAUGCUACUCAAUUGAGUAAAACCUUCAGUGAAACUGGACUGACUGAUUCAACAGGGUGUUUUUAGAUUUAUCCUGUACACACAGAAUUAGACCAUCCCAUGGGAUUGCUAUGAUGAAGAACAGAACGCUUCCCUGGGAUGGAUGAAAAGGAGAAUCACCCCAAACAACAAGACAACCAAGCUAUGAGCCGGCACGCUCCUAUCUGCAUGACUGAUAAAGACCAUCUGAUGCCGCCAGUUAUUCAGCGAGGUCAUUCUCUCCACAAAGUCACAAUAUUUAUUUUAACGCCAGUGACUAUUGAGUGUGUGUGUAUAUCUAUGUAGUGAUAAAACACUGCCGUAAUGUGUACACAGGGUCUGAACAAGAUCAAUUCAUCAGGACAAUCAUGCAGCCUACAUGUGAGAGAGGUUGUUUAUGCAGUGGGCUGAUAGAAUACCAUAAUACAAGCCACAGAGAAGCACUGUCUAAUGUUCAUAAUGCAUGCUAUAUAUUUCACAAUAUGGGCAUUAUAUAAAUAAUUAAUAGUGUGGACUAGAGAUAGCACUGAUAGGAAGGAGAGAGACAGCAUUAGAGAAAGUCUGCUCGAAUACUCCACUCUAACGAGUGGGAUAGAAACGUUUCACCAAGCACAUCACAUGUUUUAGGGAUUCUUUUUAUCAAGCAUUGUCUUGUGGAAUGGCGAAUUUUUCUUCUCAGUGACUGCUAGUCAUACAUAUACAAUUUUGAAGUGUUUUAUUUGUAAGUUUAGAAAAAACUGUUUCCACUGUCUAUGUGUAUGAAAGUCAAUGUAGAAAGAUUGCCCCAUGAAACAGGACAAUAAAAUGCAACUGUUUAAACUGCUUAGAUGCCAGUGUUUUUCUCAGAAAUGUUAUAUUCAGGAAUACAGUAAGCUUAAUUGGCAAGAUAUUGACUAGGCUAUAUGUAAUUUAUCUUUCAACCAUUACUAUGUGUUUCCCCAAAUACCCUGUUGGCUACCUAGAGAGGAGCACUAUACUGAUGAGCACGAGCUCAGGUCCCCAAGG